rnacentral:misc_RNA from 1 species
GAUGAAGAACGUAGUGAAAUGCGAUAAGUAGUGUGAAUUGCAGAAUUCAGUGAAUCAUCGAAUCUUUGAACGCACAUUGCGCCCUUUGGUAUUCCUUAGGGCAUGCCUGUUCGAGCGUCAUUUAAACCUUCAAGCUCAGCUUGGUGUUGGGUGACUGUCCGCCGCCUCCGGGCGCGUGGACUCGCCUCAAAAUUAUUGGCGGCCGGUACAUUGGCUUCGAGCGCAGCAGAAACGCAAACUCGGGCCCGUCGUAUUGGCUCCCAGAAGCUAUCUUCACAAUUUUGACCUCGGAUCAGGUAGGGAUACCCGCUGAACUUAAGCAUAUCAAUAAGCGGAGGA